GGAUGGGCUUGCACACCCUGGACAUGCCUAAACCUGCCUGAUCUUAGAUGCUAAGCAUGGUUUGAAGUGGUUCGUUUAGGGCUGGCCCUCAAGAGCCACAGUCCUUCCU
rnacentral:rRNA from 1 species